AGGGGAGCCGCCAUACAGUGGCCAGGACCAGCUUUGCCCAAGUGGUGGCAACCGCAUGACCACAGGAACGAUGGCAUGAGCCCCAUGGCAACCUGGAAUAAGGGUGUGCUGGGCAGGAAAUAAUCCAGGAUCCAUUUCGUGUGGUCAUCUUGUCUCCCUGGUCCCCUCCAGCCUUUCCUCAUCUUUUUUGACCUGGUCACUCUGGAAGGGCGCUGGCCGUCUGUCUUUCAGGCACUUCUGAUGAAACUGAAAAUGCCACCAGGGAGAAGCAGCUGAACUUCAAGGACCACAGAGGGACAAGUGCAGGAGUAAGAGGCUGGCAUGCUGACAGUGGCCAAGGGCACUGGAGGGAAGGACCUGUCAUCACUGGGCCAAGGAAGGAACUCCAGACUGCCUACUUCCAGAGGGCCUGCUGAGAACCCCAAAGAGCUCUCUCAACAAACACACCCGCGAGUUCCAGGAGUGAGGCUGCAGGGAACAGCCUCGCUCUCAGAGGGGAUACAGAAUUGUUCCAGUGGACAAGGGCUGGGACCGUCAUAGGAUGCCGUUGGCCCGUGGUUUCCAACAGAGGUGCAGUUCACUGAACUGUGGUCUACAGUCCAUUCUCUAACUUGGGGACCCUUGAAGAAGUGUGGAAUCAUGACAACAACACUGUUGGGAGAUACUAUUAUUCCCAUCGCAUGGAUGAGCACACGGAGGCAAAAGGAAGUUAUAUGAUUGUCUGAGAUCACCCAGUGAAGACUGUGCGGCUGGGAGUUGUCCCCAGUGUUAUCUGCACGCUGCUUCCUUUUGAUGCC